GCCUGCAGCGCCACAGUUCAUUUCAGAGAACGACAUCAUUCACACAAUUACCAGUCUUUAUUCAUUACAGAGGAAAAGAGUGAGAAAUUGCUACUCACACCACAUGGGGGAAAAGACACAUAUAGAAACAGAGAGCGAGGGACAGAGACGUUAAGCGAAAGAAGGCUGGAACAAGUUGGAAAAGAAGAGUGGGACAGGGAAGCGACAGCAGCGAAGUCCUGUAUUGUGAUGAAAUGCUGACUUUGCAAGGUGGAACUGAGCUCCAGUGGCAGUACAGGUGCUGAAAAGAGGCCCCGUGAGACCCAACCUGUUGCUGGCAGCAGUGCGAUAAGGGACGGAGUCAGAAAAUGAUUCCAGUUGAUAUGCAGCCAUAGUCAAUGGUAGAGGAUGUUGGCUUCAAUACCCUAAUGGUAUAUCUACAACCAGACUGCAAGAUGCCAUGUCG
rnacentral:lncRNA from 1 species